UUGCUUCACGGGCUCCUCUUCAUUUCACAUAGCACUCCCAAUCAUUCAUAGGCGGCUACUCCUCACUCAUCCUUUCCAAAUCCUUCCUCGACGGCACCUCGACGGCACCUGUUGCCCUUGCACCGCCAUUGCCCAAACCUCCGUCACACCCCUUCCUCAAUCUCUCCAUCACACCCAUUGCCUAAUCUCUCCGUCACAAACCCAAUUCUCGCUUUUUCAGUUUCUUAGCCUCGGACAAAUUCAGGUUCGGACGAGUCGGAAAGAACACGAAACUUGGAUUAACGCUGUGCAGAGCAGGUUCGGCUCUUGCCUUUGGAGGUCUCGACGCCGAUGAAUUUCGCCACCCUCUUGAUGUUGCCGUUUUCUGUCGCUGCUCGCUGAAGCUCGUCAGCGUCGUCACCGCUUUUACCUCUUCUUCUCGUCGCCGUUGGUUCAAAGACAGAGAUGGCAUGCUUUCUGUGAAGGAACUCCAGCCUGCUGAUUCUGAUGAAAUCUAUUCUCAGGCAGAGAUUUCAUUGCUCCUUGCAAAUGCUAAGGUACAUCAAAAUGUGUACAUCGAGAGUGUUUGGAUCACUGGCAUGCGGUUAAGGUUCUAAGCUAUGAGCAUCAUAUUCUAAGACUAAGUUUGGGCAGAACAGAAGAGCAUUGAGUGUGAUCAAUCAGAAUCUAGUGCAAGGAGGUGUUUAAAAGGGCUAUAAUGCAGCCUGGGCCACCUGAGCAUUUUGCUUUACUGACAGUUCUAGAAUUCAUCAAACCUCAGUGAGGGAGAAAGAUUCAAUAUACACAGUGAAAGUCUGAACUCCUUUUCUGAUCAUGGGUGGCAAGAUUAUUGUACUACUUCAACCAUUUUCACACAUAUCAACAUCACAGCAGAGGACAGUUCCCCACACCGUCGAGGAGGAUGACCAAGGUGCACCGCAUAGGCUACAUCAGGGGAGAACAUUGCCUCGAUAACCUGAAUGACUUGCUGAGGUUUCUGUGGCGCGAUGACCCGCAAACUCAUGAUGAGUUCAAGCAGGUGCGCAAAUGGAACAAGGCUUCCAAGGAUUUGAUUCCGAUCAUUGAGCACUACCAGGAGGAUCAAAAUUUGCUUUUGAAUGCAGUGAAGGUUUUGGUGUUCCUUACAAUUCCAAUCAAACCAGGUUCCACGGAUAUUCGGCAGCAGCUUGAGUAUCUGUGGAGAUUGAAGUCUGUAGUGACGAGUAGUGAUAUAUGUGCUGUGGUAGUGUCAUUUCUAAAAAAGACCACUUUGGAAUGGGUGAUGCCGACAGUGCACUAGACCGCAUGUGGCAGAGGAAGAAAGCCGAUAAGGUAUCCUAAACAACCAGAUUUAGUUGUUUGAUGGAUACGGGAGAUCUGUUUUACGAGGUUGAUCAUUGCUAAAUCCAGGAGAAAAGAGUAAAGGAGGCUGAAAAAGGACUACAGAUGCUGUUGGAUUUUGACUUCUCUGCACUCGAAAUAGAUUUUCUUGAGCUACAGAUCUCCAAAUGGCGCGCUCUCAAUUUUGUUGGAAAGUAGACAUCCAGGGCUUUCCAGCAAUAUAUAAUAGUUCAUACUUUAUUCGAGUUUAGAUGACGCAACGCCAGUCCUAUGCUGCAUUCUGGAGUAAAAUGCCAGAAACACGUUACAAACCAGAGUUAAACGCCAAAAACAUGUUAUAAUUUGUCAUUUAACUCCAAGAGAAGCCUUUGCACGUGUAAAGUUCAAGCUCAGCCCAAACACAAACCAAGUGGGCCCCGAAAGUGGAUUACUACAUCAAUUACUUAUCUCUGUAACCCUAGUAGCUAGUUUAGUAUAAAUAGAAUUUUUUACUAUUGUAUUGGGGGGUCUCUCUUAGACCAUUUGGUCUUUUUGAACCAUUAAGUCUCGGUUAUCCUGGUUUUUUUUCUGGGGCCGGAACCAAUGAACACCUUUAUCACUUAUAUAUUUUUAACGGUGGAAUUUUUACACACCAUAGAUUAAGGUGUGGAGCUCUGUUGUACCUUGAGCAUUAAUGCAAAGUACUGUUGUUCUUCUAUUCAAUUCAUGCUUAUUCUUAUUCCAAGAUAUCCAUUCGCACCUAAUAACCUAAUGAAUGUGAUGAUUAUGUGACGCUCAACACCAUUCUCACUUAUGAACGUAUGUCUGACAAUUAUUUUCGUUCUACAUGCAAAUAAGCUUGAAUGAAUAUCUCUUGAAUUCCUUAAUCAGAAUAUUCGUGGUAGAAGUUAGAAUCUAUUGGCAGUAUUUUUGAGAAUCCGAAAAGUUUAAAUCUUCUCUGUGAUAUUCCGAGUAGGAUUCAGGGAUUGAAUGACUGUGACGAGGUUAAAACUCGCGACUGUAGGGCGUGGUGACAACGCAAAAGGAUAGUAAAUCCUAUUCCUGCAUGAUCGAGAACCGACAGAUGAUUAGCCGUGCGGUGACAGCGCACAUGGAGUAUUUUCACUGAGAGAACGGACGGUAGCCAUUGACAACGGUGAUCCCCAACAUACAUCUUGUCAUGGAAAGGAGUAAAUGAUUGGAUGAAAGCAGUAGAAAUGCAGAGAUUCAUAAAGAACACAGUAUUUUCAUGCGCUUAUCUGAAAUUUUCACCAAUGAAUUACAUCAGUAUCUCUAUUUCUAUUUUAUGCUUUAUUUAUCUUUAUAUUCGAUAACCAUUAUAACCAUUAGAAUCCGCUUGACUGAGAUUUACAAGAUGAUCAUAACUUGUUUCAUACCAACAAUCUCCGUGGGAUCGACCCUUAUUCACGUGAGGUUUAUUACUUGGACGAUUCAGUACACUUGCUAGUUAGUUGUGCGAAGUUGUGAAGAAUGUGUGUGAACCAUAGUAUUGUGCACCAAGUUUUUGGAGCAAUUGCUAGGAAUUGUUCGAGUUGUGAAAAGUAUGGGUCACAAUUUUGCUUAUCAAGUUUUUGGCGUCGUUGCCGGGAAUUGUUUGAGUUUGGACAACUGACGGUUCAUCUUGUUAUUCAGAUUAGGUAAUUUUUUUUCAAAAAGUUUUCAAAAAUCUUUCAAAUUUUUUUUUUCGUUUUUCAAAAAGAAAUUUUCGAAAAAUCCAAAAAAAUAAUAAUCAUAAAAAUAAAAAAUAUUGUGUUUCUUGUUUGAGUCUAGUGUCAAUCUUUAAGUUUAGUGUCAAUUGCAUAUUUU